UUGGAUAGAUAGAUUGAUAGAUUAGCAGGGGGUGUGGCCAGUGGCUCUUACAGCUGUUGCCUUCUGUAGGUGGGUUAAGGGCCUGUAGGUGGGUUAAGGGUCUGUAGGUGCCUUCUGUAGGUGGGUUAAGGGUCUGUAGGUGGGUUAAGGGCCUGUAGGUGGGUUAAGGGCCUGUAGGUGGGUUAAGGGUCUGUAGGUGGGUUAAGGGUCUGUAGGUGGGUUAAGGGCCUGUAGGUGCCUUCUGUAGGUGGGUUAAGGGUCUGUAGGUGGGUUAAGGGCCUGUAGGUGGGUUAAGGGCCUGUAGGUGGGUUAAGGGCCUGUAGGUGGGUUAAGGGCCUGUAGGUGCCUUCUGUAGGUGGGUUAAGGGUCUGUAGGUGGGUUAAGGGUCUGUAGGUGCCUUCUGUAGGUGGGUUAAGGGUCUGUAGGUGGGUUAAGGGUCUGUAGGUGCCUUCUGUAGGUGGGUUAAGGGUCUGUAGGUGGGUUAAGGGCCUGUAGGUGGGUUAAGGGCCUGUAGGUGCCUUCUGUAGGUGGGUUAAGGGUCUGUAGGUGGGUUAAGGGUCUGUAGAUGGGUUAAGGGUCUGUAGGUGGGUUAAGGGCCUGUAGGUGCCUUCUGUAGGUGGGUUAAGGGUCUGUAGGUGGGUUAAGGGCCUGUAGGUGGGUUAAGGGCCUGUAGGUGGGUUAAGGGCCUGUAGGUGCCUUCUGUAGGUGGGUUAAGGGUCUGUAGGUGGGUUAAGGGUCUGUAGGUGGGUUAAGGGCCUGUAGGUGCCUUCUGUAGGUGGGUUAAGGGUCUGUAGGUGGGUUAAGGGCCUGUAGGUGGGUUAAGGGUCUGUAGAUGGGUUAAGGGUCUGUAGGUGGGUUAAGGGCCUGUAGGUGCCUUCUGUAGGUGGGUUAAGGGUCUGUAGGUGGGUUAAGGGCCUGUAGGUGCCUUCUGUAGGUGGGUUAAGGGUCUGUAGGUGGGUUAAGGGCCUGUAGGUGCCUUCUGUAGGUGGGUUAAGGGUCUGUAGGUGGGUUAAGGGCCUGUAGGUGGGUUAAGGGCCUGUAGGUGCCUUCUGUAGGUGGGUUAAGGGCCUGUAGGUGGGUUAAGGGUCUGUAGGUGCCUUCUGUAGGUGGGUUAAGGGCCUGUAGGUGCCUUCUGUAGGUGGGUUAAGGGUCUGUAGGUGGGUUAAGGGCCUGUAGGUGGGUUAAGGGCCUGUAGGUGGGUUAAGGGCCUGUAGGUGCCUCCUGUAGGUGGGUUAAGGGCCU